AGCGAACGCUGGCGGCAGGCCUAACACAUGCAAGUCGAACGAACCUUUCGGGGUUAGUGGCGGACGGGUGAGUAACACGUGGGAACGUGCCUUUAGGUUCGGAAUAACUCAGGGAAACUUGUGCUAAUACCGAAUGUGCCCUUCGGGGGAAAGAUUAAUCGCCUUUAGAGCGGCCCGCGUCUGAUUAGCUAGUUGGUUGAGGUAAUGGCUCACCAAGGCGACGAUCAGUAGCUGGUCUGAGAGGAUGAUCAGCCACAUUGGGACUGAGACACGGCCCAAACGCAUACGGGAGGCAGCAGUGGGGAAUCUUGCGAAAUGGGCGACAGCCUGACGCAGCCAUGCCGCGUGAAUGAUGAAGGUCUUAGGAUUGUAAAAUUCUUUCACCGGGGACGAUAAUGACGGUACCCGGAGAAGAAGCCCCGGCUAACUUCGUG
rnacentral:rRNA from 1 species